rnacentral:rRNA from 1 species
GUGGAUUAGAUACCCUAGUAGUCCUAGCUGUAAACGAUGGGCACUAGGUGUGGGAGGAUCGACCCCUUCCGUGCCGCAGUUAACGCAUUAAGUGCCCCGCCUGGGGAGUACGACCGCAAGGUUGAAACUCAAAGGAAUUGACGGGGGCCCGCACAAGCGGUGGAGCAUGUGGUUUAAUUCGAUGAUACGCGAAGAACCUUACCGGGGCUUGACAUGCAGGGGACCGCUGUGGAAACACAGCUUUCCUUUACGGGACCGCUGCACAGGUGCUGCAUGGCCGUCGACAACU